CGUCCACCAUCGGGCCUUGACGGAUGAAGGUGACAGGGCACAAGCUAGGGUUAGAAGUGGUUGGGGGCUCGCGGUGGGGGACAUGGCAGCAACCUCGCUGCCACGGUGACGACGUACGGGCUGCUAUAGCUAGCGGCCGGCGGCGGAUGGAGCGUGUGAGAAGUUUAGAUUUGGGGAAUUUGGGAGCGGCCGGCGGCGGAGGGAGCGCGUGAGAG
rnacentral:rRNA from 1 species